rnacentral:rRNA from 1 species
CAGUAGCCGCGGGAAUACGUAGGUGGCAAGCGUUGUCCGGAAUUAUUGGGCGUAAAGCGUGCGCAGGCGGUUUGUUAAGACAGAUGUGAAAUCCCCGGGCUCAACCUGGGAACUGCAUUUGUGACUGGCAGGCUAGAGUAUGGCAGAGGGGGGUGGAAUUCCGCGUGUAGCAGUGAAAUGCGUAGAGAUGUGGAGGAAUACCGAUGGCGAAGGCAGCCCCCUGGGCCAAUACUGACGCUCAUGCACGAAAGCGUGGGGAGCAAACAGGAUUAGAUACCCGGGUAGUCCCUGUCUCUUAUAC